GAAAUGCGAUAAGUAAUGUGAAUUGCAGAAUUCAGUGAAUCAUCGAAUCUUUGAACGCACAUUGCGCCCGCCAGUAUUCUGGCGGGCAUGCCUGUUCGAGCGUCAUUUCAACCAUCAAGCUCUGCUUGUGUUGGGGCCCCUGCGGCUGUCCGCAGGCCCUUAAAACCAGUGGCGGGCUCGCCUACACUCCGAGCGCAGUAGCACAUCUCGCUCAGGUCGUGUGGUGGGUUUCCGGCCGUAAAACACCCCCCUUCUGAAAGGUUGACCUCGGAUCAGGUAGGAAUACCCGCUGAACUUAA
rnacentral:misc_RNA from 1 species